CGCUUGGUCGGAGUGUAUCAAGGUUUGGAGUAAAGGUUUCAAGCGGGUGGCCAAUAUUUUUGUGAACAAUUUCACAUCGAGAUUUAUCAGAGAUAUUGGGUGGUAGCUACCGCAAUUGGUCGGGUCUUUGCCAGGCUUGGGUAUGAGGGCUAUGUGCGCCUCCAAAGAUGCUGUGGGGAAGGCGACGGGUGGAGCAAGGGAAUUAAAUGCCCGUGUGAAGGGUUCAGUAAGGGAGUGGGCGAAUGUUCU